rnacentral:rRNA from 1 species
CCUACGGGUGGCAGCAGUGAGGAAUCUUGGUCAAUGGGCGCGAGCCUGAACCAGCCAAGUCGCGUGAGGGAAGACGGUCCUAUGGAUUGUAAACCUCUUUUGUCGGGGAGCAAAAGACGCCACGCGUGGCGUUCCGAGAGUACCCGAAGAAAACGCAUCGGCUAACUCCGGGCCUGCAGCCGCGGUAAUACGGGGGAUGCGACCGUUGUCCGGAUUUGUUGGGGUAAUAGGGUGCGCAGGCGGAAGAGCAAGUCAGCGGUAAAAUUGCGAGGUCCAACCUCUUCGGGCCGUUGAAACGGGUUGUCUAGAGUGAGGGAGAAGGAUGCGGAAUGCGUGGUGUAGCAGUGAAAUGCGUAGAUAUCGCGCAGAACUCUGAUUGCGAAGGCAGGAUCCCGGCGCUCAACUGACGCUCAUGCACGAAGGUGUGGGUAUCGAACAGGAUUAGAUACCCUUGUAGUC